UUGCAAAUUGACGAUUACUUUGCGCCCAAUUGAUACAAAAUAAUUUUGGAGGCAUCAGAUCAAAGUAUAAAGAAGAAGAAAAUAAAAAACGAUUAUCAGAGUGAGAAACAAAGAAAAACGCAUUAGAUGCAAAAAUAGUAGUAUAUCCUAAUUACCAUGGCCGUCUUUAUUUGAACAGACCGUACUACUAGAUGUGGCAACACUGUUGAGCUGUUAAAUAGAGGGCCUAGCUAAUUUCCACAUAAAAAGAAGAAGUGAACUAUUGUAUUGUAAAAUUAGGUUAGGUUUUUAAAACCCAAAUGUUUAAAAAAUGAAUAAGAUAAAUCGUACACAAAUAUUAAGAUUAUAUAAAGAAUUAUUAAGAUAUAGCGAAGAACUUAAAUUUACAGACAAACAAUAUUUCCGCAACAGAAUAAAAGAGGAAUUCCACCAAAAUAGAGAUCUUGUUGACGAAAACCAAAUCAGUCAUAACUACAAAAAAGGUGUAACGUUACUUCUAAAACAAGCAGUACAAUGAUGUUGUGCAGACACUAUAUUAGGACCCAAUUACUGUUAAGAUUUAAACACACAUUAGAUAUUUCCAAAGUGCCCCCUUUGCUGGAUAAAGACAUAGAAGAGAUGCAUGUACGAGGAAGCGGACCUGGUGGUCAGAAAAUAAACAAAACAGCGAAUUGUGUAGUAAUGAAGCACAUUCCAACAGGAAUUGUUGUAAAAUGUCAAGAAACUAGAGAACUGCACAAAAAUCGAGUAAUAGCCCGCAGCCUUCUUCAAACAAAACUAGAUAACUUUGUAAAUCGAGAAAACAGUUUAGAAGCCCAAACUAAGGUCCGCAAUGAAAAGCGGAGUCUUGUGAGGGACCAGAAAAGAGAAAAACUACAAAAACUAAAGGAAGCUUGGAAGAAUCAAGAAUGUAACAGCAUAGAUCAAAAAUUAUAGUAAUUAAUAAAUAAAAUACUUUCAGUUUUA